UUUGCAGUACAGAAGCAACAGCUCCGGAGGAACGACAUCAUUUCUCUUUGUCCUGAAAGGAAAAGACACGCUCCAAAUAUCCAUCUUCUUACACAGCACUGAAGUGAGUCAAUUUAAAGCAGAGUUCAAUUGGAACAUGAGAGGCGGCUGCGCUACACGUUACAAUGUUAAAGGGAAUGCGGUAAAUAUAGAUGAGACAGUUUCGCGCUAAAUUUUCUCCCAGCAGUUCCUCGUUAGUAUAGUGGGGGUACAGAAAGGAAGAAGGGGAGGGGAACAAGAAACCAUUUGAGGAUUGCAGACAAUGUCAAAUUUGACAUGAUAAACUGUAGAUUUAGAUCCAUCCAUUCAGUUUUACUUCUAAAUAGGUAAGUGAAAUGUAAGACCAUUUGUAAGGUAAAAUUGGGUGAUAUGAUCUGUAUAGUGUCCUUGGGAUGGAAAUAUUCCAGGCUGCUGAUUUAAAUUGUUAAAUUGUUUUUUGAAGUCACUGAAUUCUAUAAAAGUGGGCUGAAGAAAAAAAAUAAAUCAGCAUACACUGCUAUUUCGUGUACUUCUGUCAGCAUGCGCUCUUUGCCCUUUCCUUUAGCUGCACUGUGCAGCUGUGCCUGUUGACACUGUGGAACCCUGGUGCUACUGCUACCGCUAAACCAGGCGGUAGCCCAGGGAUCCCACAGUGGUCUAUGUCAAUGACCACAGAGCAGCUGUGCUGAAAGAAUAGGGCACACACAUCACUCACAUGCUGAUCGGCAGAAAUGAAGCCAAUUCAACUUUAAAAAAUUUAAUUUCAAAUGCAUCAGGUGCUUUGUACACUGUGGUGCAGUAAGCAAAUAACUCCUGUUAUCAAUGGGGAGUGCCAGUUUGUUAGUUUCCCUGAGUUCCUAAAUUGGUGUUCUAGUUUUCCAAGGGUACCACUGGGUAUCAGGUAAGCAAUUAUAGCCACUGGGAUGCCUAACUAAUUGGCACCCCCACUGAUUUCUACGUUCCUCUGUCAGGAUACUAUACUGUGGUUAAAAUAUAAUUCUGGACAAAACAUUUUCUAAAGCUGCACUGCUUCAAGGUUUUGAACUACUCUUCCUCCACUAAGGCUAGGUGUAGGAUACUGCUUGAAUUCUCUGUAUCAUAAUGUCAUUCUGUUCUGGUUAGAGGAUGGCUGUCCUUACAUAGGGCUUAUGGGUGGAAAAAUAGUUGGCACUGGGCCUUGCAGCACUGAGGUCCUAGGGUUAAUUUCAUUUCUGUGUACAUGCAAAUUUGCCCAGUGUUGAUAAAUAAAAUAAGCCUCACUCUUCCUAACUGUGGCUUCACUAUGUGCUCACUAUCCCUACAAAACUCAGCACUGGGGCCUGUGUUGCUUACUUGCCUAACUAACUCUCACCCCUGUGGGAAGUUAAGUCCCUCUAACUAAAGACAGUGACUGGUCACAUAACCAUGGAGUCUUAUAUAGGCCAAAGAGGCUCCUCCACUGAACAUUCCCUUUAUUUAAGCCCUCAACCUUUGGACCUCUUACUGUAAUGACAAAUUCCAAGGAAGCCUAACCAAGUCCCAACCUUAGGGGUGAAGACACAAGGAGCUACUGGUAGAAGCUACUUGUCACAGCUAUAAAAAUAGACAA